rnacentral:tRNA from 1 species
CAAAGAGUAGUUUAGUUUAGAAUGCUGGCUUUGGGGGCCAGUGGUGGGGGUUAGAAUCCUCCCUUUUUGA